AACGCUAGCUACAGGCUUAACACAUGCAAGUCGAGGGGAAACGAUAUUGGAAGCUUGCUUCCGAUAGGCGUCGACCGGCGCACGGGUGAGUAACGCGUAUCCAACCUGCCCACCACUUGGGGAUAACCUUGCGAAAGUAAGACUAAUACCCAAUGACGUCUCUAGAAGACAUCUGAAAGGGAUUAAAGAUUUAUCGGUGAUGGAUGGGGAUGCGUCUGAUUAGCUUGUUGGCGGGGUAACGGCCCACCAAGGCGACGAUCAGUAGGGGUUCUGAGAGGAAGGUCCCCCACAUUGGAACUGAGACACGGUCCAAACUCCUACGGGAGGCAGCAGUGAGGAAUAUUGGUCAAUGGACGUAAGUCUGAACCAGCCAAGUAGCGUGCAGGAUGACUGCCCUAUGGGUUGUAAACUUCUUUUAUAAGGGAAUAAAGUGAGGGACGUGUCCCUUUUUGUAUGUACCUUAUGAAUAAGGAUCGGCUAACUCCGUGCCAGCAGCCGCGGUAAUACGGAGGAUCCAAGCGUUAUCCGGAUUUAUUGGGUUUAAAGGGAGCGUAGGUUGACAUAUAAGUCAGCUGUGAAAGUUUACGGCUCAACCGUGAAAUUGCAGUUGAUACUGUAUGUCUUGAGUGUACAAGAGGUGGGCGGAAUUCGUGGUGUAGCGGUGAAAUGCUUAGAUAUCACGAAGAACUCCGAUUG
rnacentral:rRNA from 1 species